GUGAGCCAUAUCACAAAGCAAAAGAGCCCCACAUUUGUCAGCAACCUCUCUGAACCUCUUGUAAUCCCAAUCUCUUGGGUAAGCACUUCCUCCACAGAUAAUCAAUUUUGGCCUAAAAUCCAAAGCCUUCUCUUCCAACCUAUCGUAAUCAAUAUACCCAUUUGUCGAAUUCACCUUAUAAGGCAAACUCUCAAAGUAAAUCGAAGUCGCAGAGAUCUUCUUCCCACCAGAUGUAUAAUACCCAUGUGUCAAAUGACCACCAGAAGGCAAAUCCAAUCCCAUAAUCCUAUCAUGUGGGUUCAACACAGCAGUAUAAGCAGCAAAAUUAGCAGGGCUACCAGAAUAAGGCUGAACAUUAACACCCCACUUGGUUGGAUCAAGAUGAAAAGCUUCAAGAGCUCGACUUCUUGUCAGAUUCUCAAUUUGAUCAAUAUAUUCAUUACCACCGUAGUAACGGUUUCCGGGUAUCCCCUCUGAGUAUUUGUUGGUUAAAGCACUGCCAAGUGCUUCAAUUACAGCAAAAGAAGUGAAAUUUUCUGAAGCAAUCAGCUCAAUGCCGCGACAUUGACGGCGUUUUUCCUUCUCAAUGAGAUCAUGGAUCUCAGGAUCGACAGUUGAAAGGGGCUCAUUACCCCAAACUGUAACUGGAUCCAUUGAAGAAAAAUUGAGAGAAAAUUGAGAAGAAAAUGAGAAAUGUAGAGAGAGUUAAA
rnacentral:misc_RNA from 1 species